GACGAACGCUGGCGGCGUGCCUAAUACAUGCAAGUAGGACGCAGUUGCGAACGGGUGAGUAACGCGUAGGUAACUACCUAUUAGAGGGGGAUAACUAUUGGAAACGAUAGCUAAUACCGCAUACUAGUAGAUUGACCUGCGUUGUAUUAGCUAGUAGGUAGGGUAAUGGCCUACCUAGGCAACGAUACAUAGCCGACCUGAGAGGGGUGUCGGGCACACUGGGACUGGGACCAGGCUCAGACCUCUACGGGAGGCAGCAGUAGGGAAUCGUCGGAAAUGGGGGGAACCCUGACCGAGCAACGCCGCGUGAGUGAAGAAGGUUUUCGGAUCGUAAAGCUCUGUUGUUAAGGAAGCGGUACUUAAACAGAAAGGGACGGCUAACUACGUGCCAGCCGCCGCGGUAAUUC
rnacentral:rRNA from 1 species